rnacentral:rRNA from 1 species
GACGAGCCACCCGACCGUUAUUCGGAAUUACUGGGCUUAAAGGGUGCGUAGGCGGUGUAGCAAGUCGGGAGUGAAAUACCCCAGCUUAACUGAGGAAUUGCUUUCGAUACUGCUGCGCUUGAGUGAGACAGAGGUAAGCGGAACUUAGGGUGGAGCGGUGAAAUGCGUUGAUAUCCUAAGGAACACCGGUGGCGAAGGCGGCUUACUGGGUCUCAACUGACGCUGAGGCACGAAAGCUAGGGUAGCAAACGGG